rnacentral:rRNA from 1 species
AAGGCGACGAUGCGUAGCCGACCUGAGAGGGUGAUCGGCCACACUGGGACUGAGACACGGCCCAGACUCNUACGGGAGGCAGCAGUAGGGAAUCUUCCGCAAUGGACGAAAGUCUGACGGAGCAACGCCGCGUGAGUGAUGAAGGUUUUCGGAUCGUAAAACUCUGUUGUUAGGGAAGAACAAGUACCGUUCGAAUAGGGCGGUACCUUGACGGUACCUAACCAGAAAGCCACGGCUAACUACGUGCCAGCAGCCGCGGUAAUACGUAGGUGGCAAGCGUUGUCCGAAAUUAUUGGGCGUAAAGCGCGCGCAGGCGGUUUCUUAAGUCUGAUGUGAAAGCCCCCGGCUCAACCGGGGAGGGUCAUUGGAAACUGGGGAACUUGAGUGCAGAAGAGGAGAGUGGAAUUCCACGUGUAGCGGUGAAAUGCGUAGAGAUGUGGAGGAACACCAGUGGCGAAGGCGACUCUCUGGUCUGUAACUGACGCUGAGGCGCGAAAGCGUGGGGAGCGAACAGGAUUAGAUACCCUGGUAGUCCACGCCGUAAACGAUGAGUGCUAAGUGUUAGAGGGUUUCCGCCCUUUAGUGCUGCAGCAAACGCAUUAAGCACUCCGCCUGGGGAGUACGGUCGCAAGACUGAAACUCAAAGGAAUUGACGGGGGCCCGCACAAGCGGUGGAGCAUGUGGUUUAAUUCGAAGCAACGCGAAGAACCUUACCAGGUCUUGACAUCCUCUGACAACCCUAGAGAUAGGGCUUCCCCUUCGGGGGCAGAGUGACAGGUGGUGCA